CUACGGGAGGCAGCAGUGGGGAAUUUUCCGCAAUGGGCGAAAGCCUGACGGAGCAAUACCGCGUGAGGGAAGACGGCCUAUGGGUUGUAAACCUCUUUUUUCAGGGAGGAAUUUCGACGUGUACCUGAAGAAUAAGCAUCGGCUAACUCCGUGCCAGCAGCCGCGGUAAGACGGAGGAUGCAAGUGUUAUCCGGAAUCACUGGGCGUAAAGCGUCUGUAGGUGGUUGAACAAGUCAACUGUUAAAUCUUGAGGCUCAACUUCAAAAUCGCAGUCGAAACUGUUUGACUAGAGUAUAGUAGGGGUAAAGGGAAUUUCCAGUGGAGCGGUGAAAUGCGUAGAUAUUGGAAAGAACACCGAUGGCGAAGGCACUUUACUGGGCUAUUACUGACACUCAGAGACGAAAGCUAGGGUAGCAAAUGGGAUUAGAUACCCCAGUAGUCCUAGCCGUAAACAAUGGAUACUAGAUGUUGAACAGAUCGACCUGUGCAGUAUCAAAGCUAACGCGUUAAGUAUCCCGCCUGGGAAGUAUGCUCGCAAGAGUGAAACUCAAAG
rnacentral:rRNA from 1 species